AGUGAACGCUGGCGGUAGGCCUAACACAUGCAAGUCGAACGGCAGCACAGUAAGAGCUUGCUCUUACGGGUGGCGAGUGGCGUACGGGUUAGGAAUACAUCGGAAUCUGCUUUUUCGUGUGGUAUAACGUAGGGAAACUUACGCUAAUACCGCAUACGACCUACGGGUGAAAGCAGUGGAUCUUCGGACCUUGCGCGAUUGACUGAGCCGAUGUCGGAUUAGCUAGUUGGCGGGGCAACGGCCCACCAAGGCGACGAUCCGUAGCUGGUCUGAGAGGCUGAUCAGCCACACUGGAUCUGAGACCCGGUCCAGACUCCUACGGGAGGCAGCAGUGGGGAAUAUUGGCAACUGCCCGCAAGCCUGAUCCAGCCAUACCGCGUGGGUGAAGAAGGCCUUCGGGUUGUAAAGCCCUUUUGUUGGGCAAGAAAAGCAGCAGGUUACUACCCCGCUGUUCUGACGGUACCCAAAGAAUAAGCACCGGCUAACUUCGUG
rnacentral:rRNA from 1 species